AGUGGGUUCCGAUCCGCGAUAUAGUGUGUGCAUUCCGGAUCAGACAUUCGCGCGGUGUAUAUGCCUCGUGCUCAACAUUAUCGUAAACUGAAUUUUUAUUAACCAGUUUUAUUAUUAUUAUUACAUCGUAACAAUAACCAUUAUUUUUAGUAUCGAAUGACUGUUUCCAUAUUUAGUGACUACUUUAAUACACAUUAUAAAGAUGUCUUAUUUUAGUGACAUUUGUGCUUGACUGUGAGAAAUUAACAAAUUUAUUUUGUGAUUGUGAACUUAGUGAACUUGUGUUAUUUUUUUUUAAUUACCUAGUAGUAUAGACAUCCCUCAAUUUUUGAGGGAUAACUGAUAAUCAGCCAAAAUUAACGCGACAAUAAUGAACUCAUAUUUCGAACAAAGUGGCUUCUACGGAAGCCACCAUCAUCAGGGAACUGGUUCCGUUACAGGAGCACAUCAUCAUGAUCACCAAAGUGCAGCUGCGGCAGCUGCUUACAGAUCGUUUCCUCUUAGUUUAGGUAUGUCUCCAUAUGCCUCUAGUCAACAUCAUCAUGCACAUUCUUUACAUCAAGCCCGUCCACCUCAAGAUUCUCCGUACGAUGCUUCCGUAGCUGCGGCAUGUAAAUUAUAUUCUUCUUCUUCAGAUGGCCAACAAAACUCUGUAAAUUAUAGUUCGUCAACGACAAAAUCAGACUGUUCAAAAGGGAACGCGGAUCAAAACGGUUACGCUUCGGUGGUAGCUGCUGCUGCAGUUAAAGACGUUUGGCAAAGUGCAACUUCAGGUGCCGGUGCAAAUCUAUCAAAUAGUCUCACAGGCCCCGUGCGUCCUGCAGCGUGUACACCAGACUCUCGAGUGGGUUAUGGUUCGUCGGUAGGACUUGUUGGUGGCGAUCCGUCAUCUAGUCCCGGAGCAGCAACAGGAGGAAGGACGUCAAAUUCGUUAUCUUCAUGGAACAACCCAUGUUCAUUAAAUUCAUCAUCUUCUCAACCCGUUGGUACUCAGAUCCAUCAACAGACGAAUCACACAUUUUAUCCUUGGAUGGCAAUAGCAGGUGCAAAUGGCUUACGACGAAGAGGCCGUCAGACGUAUACGCGAUACCAAACACUUGAACUUGAAAAGGAGUUCCACACGAACCAUUAUCUGACACGGCGGAGACGAAUCGAAAUGGCGCACGCGCUCUGCCUCACAGAACGACAGAUCAAAAUCUGGUUUCAGAAUAGGCGAAUGAAAUUAAAGAAAGAAAUUCAAGCCAUUAAAGAACUUAACGAACAAGAGAAACAAGCGCAAGCGCAGAAAGCGGCCGCCGCAGCAGCUGUAGCGCAAUCGGUAGUGGAGCAAAACUAGUGGCUGCAAGGGGAAAUUUCCUCGGAGGAGCAACAUGUCCUGUAAGCCUUAGACACUCUGGCAGUGCACCAUACAUCCGGAAACAGGAAGUGUUGCCAACCACACCAGGAAUUUCCACUAAAUCGGAUCAGCUAUCGCGGAAAUACGUACUACAACCAAAACAGGACUCUUCAUUGUGAAAAUUGUGUAUACUCUAGUGGAUAGUGUAAUAUGUAUACAGGAUGUUUUUAAGCCGUAGGACAAGUACUACUAUGAAAGUCUAAACCUUUACUUAUUAUUUUAAUAGAAAAAUUAGCAGAAAAUAAAGCUAAAAAUAAAGAAGUUGCAAGAUUUUUAUGUAUAAUAAACAAAUAUUUGUAAAUUAGUUGAUAUUUUUGGAAAAAAAUGAAUAUCUUUAAUAAUUAAUUUGUAUUGUAAACGGCCACAAAGUUGAAAUAAUGAGAUAAGAUAUAGACUUUAUUCUAAAUGGUUAAAAUUAUUUAAAAAUUUAUAUACUCUAUCUUACGGUUUAAAACAUCUUAUAUCUUUAAUCCAAAGUAAGAUAAUGAUAGUGAUAAAAUAUUUUUUGAGUGAAGAUUUUCUUUAACGAAAUUUGUUUUGUAAAAAAUAAUGUGACACAAAAAAGAUACGUAACUGGAUAUAUGUGCCAUACUUUACAAAAAUAUACGUAAAUAUGAUAUACGUAAAAAAAUAUAAAUCCUAAUAGUUCUAAGUAUAAAAUUUAUUAUAUUAAAUUAUCAGCCAUUUCGAUGACUUUUAUCAAGAAUAUAAUUGUACUAGAUAAAUAUUUGUAUUGAAAUCAACAUCAUAUAAGCAAUUUCAGAUGAUGUUACAAUUGCCUGAUCCCGAUACAUUUAGUAGACAUUCAAUUCGUGAUUAGUUAGAUUAGAUUGUCUGGCGAACAUUACAAAGAUAACUUUAGAGAAUUCUCGUUCGCCAUUUCUGUGCCCUUCGACAAUCAGAGCAGUGUAGUAGGGUGUAGUAAACACCUUUAUCGACGCCAAAGAAUUAAUUUUAUCUCAUCGAUUCAAUCGGUAUUUGAAAUUAUGAAAUAAUUUUUUUUAAAUUUCAUCAUAAAAUAAUGCAUUAGUCACACAGGGUUUUUCUGAAAGGCUGAGACAUUUCAUAACUACAAUCCUGAAAAUUACUUGAUUUAAACUAACUUUCUACUUUAUGCAGAAUCGUCUUUUUAAGUUGGUACAAAUCAUUAAAAUUGUAAAAAAUAAUAAUGGUGUUGAUUAUAGAAAGAGUAAGCAUUGAACAUUUGGCAUAUAAUAAUACUGGGCCAACAAGUCAUAUUUAAAGAGAAGUUUGGGCCUCAUCAAUGAUUAGAACAUAGUUUAGUAGCGAUAAUAAGUCUAAAACUAAUUUAUUCUGUCUUCCACAGCAUUUCUAAUUUUUCUUUUAAGUUCAUUAUCUAUGUUAACAAGCAUAAAAUAUUUUUUCAAAUAUCUUUAGAAUGUUGUCUUCCAUUUGGAGAGUAAGAAUUGGGACAGGACGUCAUUGAUAUUUAUCUCCCAUUUUUAUAGAAACGUGCAGAGGUUUUGCACCGGAUGAUGAGAAAAACUCUGUUGGUUGGCUUCUUUUACUAUAUCCUUCUAAAAUUCCCAGGACCAACAACUUAUUUCUCUAAAAAUCCGAUAAGAAAAUAUCUUGGAACGUGUGUGUGUGUGUGUGUGUGUAAUUCAAGGCGUCAUCUAUACUGCCUCCAAAGGGUUUAUUGACCCCCCUUUUUCAUUUGUGACACUAGAGACGAUCAGUGUUUCUAGAAGAUCUAUUAAUCUCACUCCUUUCAGGAAUUUCAGGACGUGGAUGGUUCUAGCUGCCAAAGAUCUUCAUUUUCCAUUUUAUAUGCCGUUAGGUGCAAUACCCCGAUUCAUCUAAUGUCUUAAAGCGCAUUUCAUGAAAAAGUUUAGCACCAACAAAUGAAUUGUUCGCCACUAUUUACGCAAGUUUGUCUUCUAUUAAAAUUUUCUCCACCCUAGUUUGACAGAAAAAUAGAAAGUUUUCUUAUGUAAUGUAAUUUAAUUAAAUAAUACCAUAAAAGACAUAAAACGGCGUAAAUUAUAUUAUCUGGUUAUUCCUCUACUCACAAUAUUUUAUAUUUUUUUAGGUAUGCUUCAAUUUUUGCUUAUUUAGUUCAUUUCAUUUAUUUUAUAUAUAGUCUAAGAGCCUGUGAACCCCAGAUCUUUGUGAUUUAAUGAAAGCUGAAAGUUUGUCAGCGCAUCCAACAAAUAAAGUGUGAUUUUCAGGUAUUACCUUCAAACUGUUAUUAAAAAUAACGGUAUUCAUUGCCAGACACACUUAAUUUUCAUUAAAUUAUAAUUCUAGUUUAUAUUACCUUAUAGUAUAAAAGCUUUUAUUUAUAAUACUUGCGUAAUAAUCGCAUGAUGUUUCAUCAUUACCACUUUUUUAUAGGGUAGCUAUUUACCUGCUAAAGGCACGGUAAUCCAAACUUCAUAAUCGCUCAUAGUUCUUACUUUGGGAGCAUGCGCUAACAAACUUUGAGCUUUCAUAAAAUAACAAAGGUCUGGGGUUCACAGACUCUGAUUCUAUGGAGAUACUUUUGUUUCAAUAAAAAUAAAAAAAAACAUCACAAAUUUUCAUAUCAUAGUUGGAGAUCUGGGAACGUUUACAAUUUUCGUUAUUAGUAUUGACAAAUAAAAAAGAACGUAUCAUAACAAUAUUCACAAAAGUCUGUGCUAACAUCUUAAAAUAAAGUCACAGUUGCCACAAUUUAUUAUAAUUGUUGAAAAUGACGGUCGCAAUCAAAAGAUUAUUAUUAAUGACGCUUCAGUAUGAUUACUUUAAAAAAUCUAAUAAACAAUUACACUGCGCAAUUGCUUUCUAAUCACUUGUUGUACAAAUGGAAAUAUUUUUAUUUUUGGUGCUCUAAUAUUAUUUCCUUGCUAUUUCUAAUAGUUAAUGUUUAUUAUCAGGAAUAGAACUUUGUUGAUGUGUAACAUUUUCAACAGAAAUCAACCAUUAUUAAGUAAUCAAAAUGCAAAAUCAAAAAUAAAAAUUUUCACGUCAUAAAUUAUAAUUUUAAAUAUGAUUUACCCACUAAUUAUGUAGCUACAAAAACACAUAACACGUAUUUAGAUAUGUCUUACUUUUUAUAAGAUUUCCUUCUUUUCAAAAACUGUAGAUUUUCCCGAACUAUUCCAUGAAUAUAAAAUCGAUUAUAUGAAUCAGGGUAUAGGCAACCGAAGAAUUUAUUUGUACAUUUUUAUGUUGGUGCUAGGAUAUUUUGAGCGAUUUUCAUGAAAACUAGUAUAAAAGUUUUACGGGAUAUAAGUCGUAAGAAAUGGCUGCAGAUUCAUUUUUUAUUUGUUAAAAUCAUGUGAAUAUCAAUCUAGACUACUUUAUGUAUUUAAUUUUUUUAUGUUGGUAUGCAGUUUUUUGUUUAAUAGUAUUUACUUGAAAGGCAAUUGGAUUGUGCAAUAUUAUAAAAAUUCGAUGUUUAGGAUAAUAGUAUGGUGGCAGUUUCGAACUGUAAUAAAAGUGUAGUUACAAAAACGUCACUCAACCUUUAGUUGUCGCCACGUUACGGAUGUGUACAUACUUAAAAAAAUUUAAAGAAGAUCUCAGAUCAUCUAUCCUUAACGUGCUUGUGUACAUUUGGGUUUAUACUGAUUGUUGAUAGAGGUUUUUGCAAUGUAAGUAUUUUGUGGAAAAAUGGAUCUCUUUUUUUAAGAUUAUGUAAAGUAGACUAAUGGCUUAUUUAACCAUUUGAAUACCCCACAGCUAACAAGAGAAACUAUUGAUAUCAAAAUAUUCUAAACAACUCUCCCAUUUUCUAGCGGUCACAAAAAAAAUAUAUUAUCAUGAAGCUAAUUAAACUUUCCAGGUAAAAUAUUAGAUAAAACAGUUGGAAAUUAUAGUGAGAUAUAACUAAAAUUUUGAAUUUUGUUUUUAACUUCUAGAUUAAUUGGUACCCAGAAAAAUAUAUUGUGAAAAAUCGAAACAAAUUUUCAAUAUGACUACAUAGUGAAAUAAAUGAGGAUGUGUGAAAAUUAGGUAUCAUUAGAUAUUAUUUAGUCAUUUACAAUGUGCUUUCAAAUUUAAAUUUUGAAAUCAAUCCACAUUCAAACAAAAUAUUUCAAAAUUAUACUCAACAUUUUUUUACUAUUCACUAAUUCACAAAGUAUUGUCAAAUUAAUAUCAAGUUUUAAGCUACUUUUUUCUAUUGGAUACAUAUAAUGAUUGUGUAUGUGUAACUUCCAAGAAAAUUCUAACGAAAUUUAUGAUUUGUGAAGAUAUUCUCUAUAAAUAUAAUUAUAAGUAUAUCGAUUCAUUGAAAAUUUCUAUUUUUUAUGAAACUUUGUAGUUCUUAUGAUUUACUUCACAUUUCAUCUUCUUCAGUUUGGUAAAUAUUUCUAUCUAAGUUGUGGAUCGCUAUAGCACAGCAUUAGAAGCUGUUAAUAUUAUUUUAAUUGGAUGGUUGGUAAUUUGAGGAAUUUUAAUUUGACGAUUUCGUUAAUAGAAUGCUUAUUUACUCCUGAAAAAACUAUGAAAUAUGUUCAGACGAAAUAAUUUGCAUUUGUGUUAUUUUUGUAAAAUCAAUUAAUUUCGACUUUUUUUAUUCCAAAAGUAAUUUAAAAUUGAUAAAUAUCAGUCUGUUUUACAUAAACAUGUCAUCUAUAGAUUCUCAUUUCACAAAUUUAAAGAUAAGGAAUAGAACUCAUUAGAGAUCAGAGUUAUAUCGGCAGGAUAUAUUUAGAAAAAAAUUCACAAAAUAACUAUUAGUAUAUUAGACAUUUUGGAGUUUGAAAUUUUACCACCUAAAUGCUCCUCUUCACGUAUAAAUGCAUAGACAAGUGACUUAAUAGUGAUAUAAGUUACCAAUAGUUGUCUGUAUACACACUCCAAUGGGUGUUUCAUACUUUGGAAAACGAUAACUUAGGUUAAGUUUGAUCACCUACUAGCUGAUUGCUCAUCUUAACUCAGAACUCAUUUAUCGGUGAAAAUUUCAAAUUUGAAACAUGAUCUACAAGAAUUUUUGAUUUUAAUCACUUUUUGUUCGUUAAUUCUUUCAGUAUAUUUAUUUAUAGAUGUUUAAUAAUUGUUAUUGAGCAGUUAUCAACGAGUCACGCGUAUUUUAAUACUAAGUAUAAAAACCGCAAUUUUGGAUAGAUUAACUUUCUUUUUUCUAGUAUUUUGGUUUGUAGUUAUCGUCAAUUUCUAUAUUUGUUUACUUUAAUCUCUGGCUUUGAGUAUCUGUAUGUGUGACGACGAAUUAGAUUAUCCAAUGAUUUUUUUAAUUCCAUGGUUUUUAAUUCUGUACACUCUACCUUAUUCAUUACUGCAGUUUCUUGUCAAUUAUUUCAAAAUUUUAUUCAGGAUUUUGAACAAGCUGAAUACUUUUUCAAUUUUUUGGAACCUUCACUUUUCAUACAAACCAACAAGAUAUUCAUUCAAAUUUUGACUGUAAAUCGUUUGUAAUUUCUAUAUGUUAAUCUAUUUAAUUUAAUUUAAUUUAAUGAAUGUUAAUUAAAUAAUUGAUUACUUUCUGUUGUGAUAUUUGCUUGAAAAGAUACUGCUUUUUUUUUAAGCGCACCAAGAUUAGACCUAAAUAAAACCUAUCAGAAUUAUUUAUCACUUUUAUGCUUUAGUAUAGUACUCGUAAUUUUCUGGUAUGUACUUACAAGAUAACAAAAAGUUCAAAUCUGCAUCUUGAAUACCUAAGAUAUCUCAGUUAAAAUUUUCCCAAUCAUUAAAAUUUGAGAGGUACUACAUUAAAUAUAAAUAUAAAGAACUUUCGAUAGAAUAGGAAGUUGUUUAGAAUAUAAAAUUAUUCAAACUGCCCAGUCACAUUGAAUAGGUACUUGUAAAAAUGUUCAUUACUUAGGAUUAGAGCACCGCUUGUACUAAUUUAGAAGGAUACUUUUUGUAAAGUUGUAUAUAGACAUAAAAAUUGGAAAUACGGAAAGUACAUCAGAUUGAAAACAUUUCAAAAAUGUUAAUAUUCAGAGAAAAAAAUGUUCUAAGUAGAAUGUUCAUAGAAGUAAUAAAUAAUUUAAUGAAUUUUUUGUUAAUAGAGAUUGGGUAUACACAUUUUUCGUGUUUGAAUCAAUUUGAGAUCGUAUAAUAUGUGAAUGGGUUUUAUUUUAUGAGCGUUCCACAUUCAAGCACGAAACGAUUGCGAAAGUGGAGUCGAUUUGUAUUUUUUCCGUGGAAUCGCUCUUCAUUAACCACUUUUUGUUGGUAUUUGGACCGCGAAAACAGACUCCGCAUUGGCAAUACGAUGUGGCGCGCGUGUGAAUGUGGAGCGCCUAAAUAAGCAUAUGAAUUUAAAUCUCUUACCAGAUAAUGUAUAUUCUACUGCGGAAGGAUUUUUUUCUAAAAUAUGUUCAAGGAAAUACAUAUUUUGAUAUAAUUUCCGAAUUUUCUAAUAAAUAAACCUCUUAGUAAGAAUUUAUGCAGUUGUGCGUGUGGUACCUAAGGUGUAGCUUUAGUAUUAAAAAAAUUAAAUAUAUUACAUUGAUUUAUAUUAUAAAUUGGUUCUACUGUUAACGAGAGUACAACAAAAUGUAUACGUAAACUACAAUUCCAGUAGUGUGUAUAGAAAAGAGGAACUUUACCUUGCAGUGUGUUUGGGCUAAAACUGACUGCAUUAAAAGGACAGAAUGUUUCAAGUUCUAUUUGAAAAUUACGUAUUCCAUUAUCUCAAUUGCUUAUCACUUUUGUUACAAAAUGAAUGAGUACCACAAAUCUCCGUCAGAAACUGUUUGUGCUCAAGUUAAAACUGAAAAAUUAGAGAAAGAUAUCAGUGAUUUAAUUCGACCUUUAAGUUGGAGAAAUUAGAAUAAAUAUAUGCAAUGCUGAGAAAAUAUGACUUGUGUGAACCAAUAUAGCUGAAUAUAAUUGAAACCAUUACCUAAUUAUAAGAUGGAAACAUUAAAUACUAGAAAAUAUCUAGCAGAAUUAUAUCAUUUUAGUAUAUAUUAAUUUAUUUCUCAAUUUUUCCAGCUCGAUGAGGUAUGCAACAUGUUAUUUAUGUUAAAUUGUAAUUUCAACUAUCAUAAUGAGAAAUAAAUGUUAAAACUAUUUAUUACGAUCUAUUCGUUUAAAAGAAUCAGAUUUUAUUAUUAUUAUAUUAUCAAAAAUUGAAUGAAAAGGACUCGAAACACUCUGUAUAUCUUCAUAAUUGUAUAUAGCGUUGUAAAUCUUUAGGUUAGGGUUGAAAUGUAUACUGUUUAUCUAGGAUAUUAUUUGUUUGUUUUUUGGUUUUAUAUUAUGAAAGUUUUGUUGCUUAUUUGUUGCUCAAUAUUCCCUUUUUCGAAAAAUGUAAAAUACGCCCCCACCCGAUCUGUCCUUUUCUCUAUCGUCUGUCGUCUCUGUGUACUGUAAUUUAUUUUAAUAAAAGUCAUGUUCUAAAAAAA